rnacentral:rRNA from 1 species
AGAGUUUGAUCAUGGCUCAGGACGAACGCUGGCGGCGUUAACACAUGCAAGUCGAACGGUGAACCGCUUUCGGGUGGGGAUCAGUGGCGAACGGGUGAGUAACACGUGAGUAACCUGCCCUUCACUCUGGGAUAACUCCGGGAAACCGGGGCUAAUACUGGAUACGACCUACUCGGGCAUCCGAUGUGGGUGGAAAGAUUUAUUGGUGAGGGAUGGACUCGCGGCCUAUCAGCUUGUUGGUGAGGUAAUGGCUCACCAAGGCGACGACGGGUAGCCGGCCUGAGAGGGCGAUCGGCCACACUGGGACUGAGACACGGCCCAGACUCCUACGGGAGGCAGCAGUGGGGAAUAUUGCACAAUGGGCGAAAGCCUGAUGCAGCGACGCCGCGUGAGGGAUGAAGGCCUUCGGGUUGUAGACCUCUUUCAGCAGGGAAGAAGCGAAAGUGACGGUACCUGCAGAAGAAGCACCGGCUAACUACGUGCCAGCAGCCGCGGUAAUACGUAGGGUGCAAGCGUUGUCCGGAAUUAUUGGGCGUAAAGAGCUUGUAGGCGGUUUGUCGCGUCUGCUGUGAAAUUUCGGGGCUCAACCCCGAACUUGCAGUGGGUACGGGCAGACUAGAGUGUGGUAGGGGAGACUGGAAUUCCUGGUGUAGCGGUGAAAUGCGCAGAUAUCAGGAGGAACACCGAUGGCGAAGGCAGGUCUCUGGGCCAUAACUGACGCUGAGAAGCGAAAGCAUGGGGAGCGAACAGGAUUAGAUACCCUAGUAGUCC